UCUUCUCGUAAAGUUGGUAUAUAAUAUUGAUCGUCUCCGUGUUUAGCAAGCAAUCCAACGCAAACAGCAUAUUUUAAUUUUUCUUGUAAUUCCUGGUCGAGAGCUUUGAAAUCGGUUUCAACUGGAUAAUGUUUCUUUGUACGUAACAUUUGUGGCGUUACUGGGAUCUUUUCCAUCUGUAUGUAAAACAUAUUUUACAUUAUAAAUAUUAUAUUCAGUCCGAAAGGACUAUAUAUAAAAAAUGAAAAAAGAUAGUGUAUCUAUGGCUG